rnacentral:rRNA from 1 species
AUAACUACUGGAAACGGUGGCUAAUACCGCAUAACGUCGCAAGACCAAAGAGGGGGACCUUCGGGCCUCUUGCCAUCAGAUGUGCCCAGAUGGGAUUAGCUAGUUGGUGAGGUAACGGCUCACCAAGGCGACGAUCCCUAGCUGGUCUGAGAGGAUGACCAGCCACACUGGAACUGAGACACGGUCCAGACUCCUACGGGAGGCAGCAGUGGG